ACGCACGCUGGCGGCGUGCUUCACACAUGCAAGUCGCACGGAAAGGCCCUGCUUGCAGGGUACUCGAGUGGCGAACGGGUGAGUAACACGUGGGUGAUCUGCCCUGCACUUCGGGAUAAGCCUGGGAAACUGGGUCUAAUACCGGAUAGGAGCCAUUUUUAGUGUGAUGGUUGGAAAGUUUUUUCGGUGUAGGAUGAGCUCGCGGCCUAUCAGCUUGUUGGUGGGGUAAUGGCCUACCAAGGCGGCGACGGGUAGCCGGCCUGAGAGGGUGGACGGCCACAUUGGGACUGAGAUACGGCCCAGACUCCUACGGGAGGCAGCAGUGGGGAAUAUUGCACAAUGGGCGCAAGCCUGAUGCAGCGACGCCGCGUGGGGGAUGACGGCCUUCGGGUUGGAAACUCCUUUCGCUAGGGACGAAGCUUUUUGUGACGGUACCUAGAUAAGAAGCACCGGCUAACUACGUG
rnacentral:rRNA from 1 species